GCGGAACCUCGCCGCGCUAGUGUAGCCGGUGCGCUCCUUCCGGCGGGCGGAUCCCGGCACCACCUUGGGGUCCGGCGCGCGGCCUCGGGGCCGACGGACACGGCUUCGUGGGGUGGUGGAGCGGACCCGGGCGGUCGUGGUCGGCAGGCUUCGGAAGGGCUGGGCGCCGGGGAGUCCAGGGAGGCCUCCCGGAGGAGUCGUGGUCCUGGAGAGAAGUGAUGGAGGAGGGGCCCAGGGGAAUUUUCGUAGGACGGGAAGCCUUUUUUGAAAACCUAACCCGUGUAUGGAGAAUUCAAAAGACUGCAGGAGGCGGGCAGGAACUCCAGUGGUGACCCGGGUGUGACAUCACUUGGUAUCCAUCCUUCACCCAGAAAAAGUAAGCCCGACUGCUCUACAUGCAACCUCAUCUUCCCAUCCAGGACCCUUUGAUGAUUUCUUCUGGAGCUUUGGCCAGAAGCUAAAACUGGCAGCUCCUGGACUAAUACAUUCAGCAGGCAGAUCAGAGCUGAUAUUUACCUCAUACACACCCCGCACCAUACUGAUGGUGAAAAAUAACUGAAAUACUUCAUAGUAAAUAGUAUCAUAGAAAUUGUUGUGCUCUACACUGGAAUUUGGCACAACAUUGUAAAAUGACUAUUACUCAAUAAGAAAAGUUUCAAAAAAAAAGAAAAAUUGUACAGUUACAGUUAGCUAAUAUAAAAUUUAAUGUAAACUCAUAGGUUUGUUCUGACAGUUUUAGAACAUUAGUACCGUAGAAAAUGGGCCUCCUGUUGUAGCCACAGCUGAGGAACAUUCAUGUCACAGUCUGACCUGUGUCACUGAAGGGACUGGGGCUAAGUUGCAUGUAACAACUUGCUUGUAAUAACAAAACACUACUUGCUUUAGGAGAAUCACUAGCUUAAAAUAGUUUCAUUGUUAGCUCAGUGUAAUUCUUUUGAAAUAGUAGGCGUGCAGGGUAUUUGUAUUUUAUACACUUAAGAUUUUAAUGUAAAUAUUGAAAACAAAUACCUAGAGUAAAGAGACAAAAUCUUGAUACAUCUUUAAUACCUGUAAAUAUAAUAAAUGUGAAUCUUAAUCUGCAGAAGAACAAAGAAGGAAUUAUAAGAGUAGUGAGUCCCAGUCUGGAACUUGUUUUGAUACUGUGCAAAAAUCCGCACAAAAUAAAACUUGUAUUAAAUGCAUUUUAUUACAUAAAAUCUGUAGUUUUGGAACGAAAAAUUUCUUGAUUUAUUUUUCAAACAGGAAUUUGAGUUAUUGCUAAUGACAAAUUUUGCCUGCAAAUAGUGCUCAAAAGUUAUGUUAAAAGAUCAAAGUGUUAAACAUGUAAAUUUCAUCAGGAUGCUGUUAAAAAAUUGUGGUUGUGGUUCAAGUGAGAAAAGCUGUGAUCAUCAAUGAGGAAGGAAUUUAAAACAUUUUCAUAUAUUAAACAUCUGAAAACUUAAAACUCCCCCAAAUGUCAUCAAAGUGAAGAUAAAGCAAUGAAAAGAUACAGAGGGUACUGUCGGCACUUUUAGCACUAUAUAGUUAAAUAUAAUUGAGCAUUUCCAUGAUUUACUAAAAUGUCUAAAGGAAUACUAUUGAUACGGAAAUGGGUGCUGUGGAACCCACUUUUUGUAAAACAGAUGCACCUAAUGAGAAGACAACUUUUUCAAGAAAAUAAUGCAGUGCAUUUUCAAUCAUCAAAGAAGCUUCAUUUGUCUGACAUAAAAGUAAAUGUUUUGUUUGUUUAAAUGCAGGUGUUUUUAAAGUUUGCUGAAAAUACAAAUUUCAAGAUUUUGAAAACGGUUCUUGUUGAUCUUACGGCACUGGGAGCUGCACUUAAUACAAUGUAUUGAACUUUGUUGGUGGAGAAAAAAAAUACGUAUUUUAUUGGAAAAUGUUUUAUAGAAGUGUCAUAGGAAUAUUUUACAAUUUCAAAAAGAUUGGAUUUUGUACCAAAAGUGCCAGUAUAAUGCUAGAAGGAGUCUGGAGUUUCAGCCAAAAGUUUAGGAAAAACAAUUUUGGGUAUUUUAAUUUGUCACUAAGCGAUCAAAUUAAUUCUGGAUAAAGCAAUACAAGAUUUAAGUUAAGCAAUUUUAAUAUUAAAAAUAUUAAAUAUUUAAUAUUUUCUGAAUAAAUUGUAUUUAUUACCAUGCAUCAAAUAUCAGAAAGAACUGCAAAUGAAGUAGUGAGCUCUGAGCCCUGCUGGUUAGCCGGACGUGCUAGAGCUGCAGAAGUGACUGGAAGUGGGCAGCUCCUGCAUGUUCUCUGUGCUGGGACUGAGGUGCGGGUCCUGCGUGUCUUCUGCUGGGCCUGAGGUGCGGUACCUGCCUGUUCUCUGUGCGGUAGCUAUCCAUUUGAAAAAUGUCCUUAAGAGCAUUGGCAUUAAAAGAUUUUUUAAUGGAAA